UACAGAGGUCUCAAGCGUUGUUCGGAUUCAUUGGGCGUAAAGGGUGCGUAGGCGGCGCGGUAAGUCGGGUGUGAAAUCUUGGAGCUUAACUCCGAAACUGCAUUCGAUAUUGCCGUGCUUGAGGACUGGAGAGGAGACUGGAAUUUACGGUGUAGCGGUGAAAUGCGUAGAUAUUGGGAGGAACACCAGUGGCGAAGGCGGCUCACUGGACCGGAACUGACGCUGAGGCGCGAAAGCGUGGGGAGCAAACGGG
rnacentral:rRNA from 1 species